GAUGAAGAACGUAGCGAAAUGCGAUACGUAAUGUGAAUUGCAAAUUCAGUGAAUCAUCGAGUCUUUGAACGCACAUUGCGCCCCCUGGUAUUCCGGGGGGCAUGCCUGUCCGAGCGUCAUUGCUGCCCUCAAGCACGGCUUGUGUGUUGGGCCCCGUCCUCCGAUCCCGGGGGACGGGCCCGAAAGGCAACGGCGGCACCGCGUCCGGUCCUCGAGCGUAUGGGGCUUUGUCACCCGCUCUGUAGGCCCGGCCGGCGCUUGCCGAUCAACCCAAAUUUUUAUCCAGGUUGACCUCGGAUCAGGUAGGGAUACCCGCUGAACUUAAGCAUAUCAAUAAGCGGAGGA
rnacentral:misc_RNA from 1 species